rnacentral:rRNA from 1 species
AGAGUUUGAUCCUGGCUCAGGAUGAACGCUAGCGACAGGCUUAACACAUGCAAGUCGAGGGGCAGCGGGUAGAUGAGCUUGCUCAUUUAUGCCGGCGACCGGCGCACGGGUGAGUAACACGUAUGCAACCUGCCCGUCUCAGGGGGAUAAUCGUCGGAAACGGCGUCUAAUACCCCGUAUGAAGCCGGACGGCAUCGUCUGGUUUUGAAAGAAUAUCGGAGACGGAUGUGCAUGCGGCGCAUUAGCUAGUUGGCGGGGUAACGGCCCACCAAGGCAACGAUGCGUAGGGGUUCUGAGAGGAAGGUCCCCCACACUGGUACUGAGACACGGACCAGACUCCUACGGAAGGCAGCAGUGAGGAAUAUUGGUCAAUGGGCGAGAGCCUGAACCAGCCAAGUCGCGUGAGGGAGUACUGCCCUAUGGGUUGUAAACCUCUUUUGUCGGGGAGCAAAAGCCGGACGUGUCCGGCUGUGAGAGUACCCGAAGAAAAAGCAUCGGCUAACUCCGUGCCAGCAGCCGCGGUAAUACGGAGGAUGCGAGCGUUAUCCGGAUUUAUUGGGUUUAGAGGGUGCGCAGGCGGAUUUUUAAGUCAGCGGUCAAAUCGUGGGGCUCCACCCCAUCCAGCCGUUUGAAACUG